CAGGGACAUAAAUCAUCAUUGUAUAUGACUACAGAAAGUGAAAGAUAACUGAGACUCAGGCAGUUCACCUCCAGAUGAGCAGCAGAGACAUACCGGAUCAAAGUAAUCAGACAAACAAGAAGAGAUAUUUCCACACAUUUUGCAAUGAGAAACUCCACCAGCACCUUUACCUGCUCACAUGAAACCACUGCUUUCAAGUCACACGGCUUAUCAGAGAGAGCUGAAGGCGGUAUGGCAGAAGAAGUUGAACCUUCCCACCAAUAUUCUGUUACAUUUUGUUGCCAAUGACAGAUGGCAGCAGAAGGACAGUCAGACAAAAUGGCACCUGAUGUGGAAGUGCAUAUGAAGCAAAGGUGUGACACUGAAUUCUUUCACGCAGAAAAAACGUCACUUGUUGGCAUUCAUCAGUGCUUGCUGAACAUUUAUGGAAACCAACCAGUGGAUGUGAGCACAAUGAGACAGUGGGUGGUACAUUUCAGCAGAG
rnacentral:lncRNA from 1 species